AUACGUAGGUGGCGAGCGUUGUCCGGAAUUACUGGGCGUAAAGGAUGCGUAGGUGGAUACUUAAGUGGGAUGUGAAAUCCCCGGGCUCAACCCGGGAACUGCAUUCCAAACUGGGAAUCUAGAGUGCAGGAGAGGAAAGCGGAAUUCCUAGUGUAGCGGUGAAAUGCGUAGAUAUUAGGAGGAACACCAGUGGCGAAGGCGGCUUACUGGGCUUUUACUGACGCUGAGGCUCGAAAGCGUGGGGAGCAAACAGGAUUAGAUACCCUGGUAGUCCACGCUGUAAACGAUGAUUACUAGGUGUGGGGGGACUGACCCCUUCCGUGCCGCAGUUAACACAAUAAGUAAUCCACCUGGGGAGUACGAUCGCAAGAUUGAAACUCAAAUGAAUUGGCGGGG
rnacentral:rRNA from 1 species